CAGAGAUCAUGCCCUCACGGGUAGACCUCCCACCCUGUGUUAUAUACUCUUGUUGCUUUGGCAGGCCGCCUUCGGGCUCCCGGCUUCGGCUGGGGUGCGCCUGCCAGAGGACCCCAACUCUUUUGUUUAUAUGUCGUCUGAGUACUAUAUAAUAAGUUA
rnacentral:misc_RNA from 1 species